CGUAGGGCGCAAGCGUUAUCCGGAUUAUUGGGCGUAAAGAGCUCGUAGGCGGUUUGUCGCGUCUGCCGUGAAAGUCCGAGGCUCAACCUCGGAUCUGCGGUGGGUACGGGCAGACUAGAGUGAUGUAGGGGAGACUGGAAUUCCUGGUGUAGCGGUGAAAUGCGCAGAUAUCAGGAGGAACACCGAUGGCGAAGGCAGGUCUCUGGGCAUCUACUGACGCUGAGGAGCGAAAGCAUGGGGAGCGAACAGGAUU
rnacentral:rRNA from 1 species